rnacentral:rRNA from 1 species
GAUCCUGGCUUAGAACGAACGCUGGCGGCAGGUCUUAGGCAUGCAAGUCGAACGGGUGUAGCAAUACAUCAGUGGCGCACGAGUGAGUAACGCGUGGGAAGCUACCCAUCACGUGGGGAAUAACGUUUGGAAACGAACGCUAAUACCGCAUACGCCCGGAAAGGGGAAAGAUUUAUCGGUGAUGGAUGUCGCCCGCGUUGGAUUAGCUUGUUGGUGGGGUAACGGCCUACCAAGGCGAUGAUCCAUAGCUGGUCUGAGAGGACGAUCAGCCACGCUGGGACUGAGACACGGCCCAGACUCCUACGGGAGGCAGCAGCUAAGAAUAUUGGACAAUGGGGGAAACCCUGAUCCAAGCCAUGCCGCGUGAAUGAAGAAGGCCUUCGGGUUGUAAAGUUCUUUUAGUAGUGAAGAUGAUGACAGUAGCUACAGAAAAAGCACCGGCUAACUUCGUGCCAGCCGCCGC